UUUAAUGUCAGUAAUGAUGAGAAUUAAAGUGGAAUGCGUUUGGAUGACCUUUGAAUAUCUUAUCAGAUUGGGCCUGACUGUUGGAUCUCUAUUUUAUUGGUCCAUCCUGUUCAAAUUCAAAUCCUUUAUCAGAUUGGGCUUAUUGCUCUGGGUAUCCACUAUCCAGCCCUCCCUUAUUCCACUUCGUAUGUUAAAAGUGGGUAUAAUUCACUUAUUUCCUAUCCUUGGGCCUUUAUUAAAUUCUAAAUAUCAUGAAUCAUAUAUAGUUUUCCAUUAAACAUCUUGUUUAACUAAAAAACUAGGGGGUAAUGUUGGGUCAUGAUAUGUCUCCUAUUUUGGG
rnacentral:lncRNA from 1 species